rnacentral:rRNA from 1 species
GAUGAACGCUGGCGGCGUGCCUAAUACAUGCAAGUCGAGCGAACAGACGAGGCGCUUGCUCCUCUGACGUUAGCGGCGGACGGGUGAGUAACACGUGGAUAACCUCCCUAUCUGACUGGGAUAACUUCGGGACACCGGCGCUAAUACCGGAUAAUCUAUUGAACCGCAUGGUUCAAUAGUGAAAGACGGUUUUGCUGUCACUUAUCGAUGGAUCCGCGCCGCAUUAGCUAGUUGGUACGGUAACGGCUUACCAAGGCAACGAUGCGUAGCCGACCUGAGAGGGUGAUAGGCCACACUGGAACUGAGACACGGUCAAGACUCCUAAGGGAGGCAGCAGUAGGGAAUCUUCCGCAAUGGGCGAAAGCCUGACGGAGCAAGGCCGCGUGAGUGAUGAAGGUCUUCGGAGCGUAAAACUCUGUUAUUAGGGAAGAACAAAUGUGUAAGUAACUAUGCACGUAUUGACGGUACCUAAUCAGAAAGCCACGGCUAACUACGUG